ensembl:snoRNA SNORA70 Small nucleolar RNA SNORA70
CUGCAGCUUAUUAAGCCGACCAGAAUAUUUGCAAGUAAUAUACUGGUGUGCAAAGGCUGCAGACAUCAAACUCACUGGUUGUGUAUGUGCUUGGCCAUAUCAUGCCAAGUGCUUUAAGGGACCUUUGAAACAAAG